UACGAGGGGUGCGAGCGUUGCUCGGAAUUAUUGGGCGUAAAGGGUAGGUAGGUGGUUUCGUUUGUCUGGGGUGAAAGCCUUGAGCUUAACUCAAGAAGUGCCUCGGAAACGGCGAAACUCGAGUACUGGAGAGGGUCGUGGAAUUCCCGGUGUAGCGGUGAAAUGCGUAGAUAUUGGGAGGAACACCAGUGGCGAAGGCGGCUCACUGGACCGGUACUGACGCUGAUGCGCGAAAGCGUGGGGAGCAAACGGG
rnacentral:rRNA from 1 species